rnacentral:rRNA from 1 species
AACGAACGCUGGCGGCAGGCUUAACACAUGCAAGUCGAACGGGUGCAGCAAUGCAUCAGUGGCAGACGGGUGAGUAACACGUGGGAACCUUCCUAGGGGUACGGAACAACUCAGGGAAACUUGAGCUAAUACCGUAUACGUCCGUAAGGAGAAAGAUUCAUCGCCCCUAGACGGGCCCGCGUCGGAUUAGGUAGUUGGUGGGGUAACGGCCUACCAAGCCUACGAUCCGUAGCUGAUCUGAGAGGAUGAUCAGCCACACUGGGACUGAGACACGGCCCAGACUCCUACGGGAGGCAGCAGUGGGGAAUCUUGGACAAUGGGCGCAAGCCUGAUCCAGCCAUGCCGCGUGAGUGAAGAAGGCCUUAGGGUUGUAAAGCUUCUUUUACCAGGGACGAUAAUGACGGUACUGGAGAAU